rnacentral:rRNA from 1 species
UACGGAGGGGGCGAGCGUUAUUCGGAAUUAUUGGGCGUAAAGGGCGCGUAGGCGGCUUGAUGUGUCAAAGGUGAAAUCCCUCGGCUCAACUGAGGAACUGCCUUUGAAACUGGCUGGCUUGAGGCCGGGAGAGGGUAGCGGAAUUCCCAGUGUAGCGGUGAAAUGCGUAGAUACUGGGAGGAACACCGGUGGCGAAGGCGGCUACCUGGACCGGUUCUGACGCUGAUGCGCGAAAGCGUGGGUAGCAAACAGG